AGAACUUAGCAGAGAUGCUUUGGUGCCUUCGGGAACUCUGAGACAGGUGCUGCAUGGCUGUCGUCAGCUCGUGUUGUGAAAUGUUGGAUUAAGUCCCGCAACGAGCGCAACCCUUAUCCUUUGUUGCCAGCGGCUCGGCCGGGAACUCAAAGGAGACUGCCGGUGAUAAACCGGAGGAAGGUGGGGAUGACGUCAAGUCAUCAUGGCCCUUACGGCCAGGGCUACACACGUGCUACAAUGGCGCAUACAAAGAGAAGCGACCUCGCGAGAGCAAGCGGACCUCAUAAAGUGCGUCGUAGUCCGGAUUGGAGUCUGCAACUCGACUCCAUGAAGUCGGAAUCGCUAGUAAUCGUAGAUCAGAAUGCUACGGUGAAUACGUUCCCGGGCCUUGUACACACCGUCCGUCACACCAUGGGAGUGGGUUGCAAAAGAAGUAGGUAGCUUAACCUUCGGGAGGGCGCUUACCACUUUGUGAUUCAUGACUGGGGUGAAGUCGUAACAAGGUAGGCGUAGCGAG
rnacentral:rRNA from 1 species